GGGGGCAGAAGCAGAAGACAUCACGAAUGGUCUCAAAAUAUAAAUACUUUUUAAAUGAGGCUAAAAACAGGUCUAUGGCGAUCAUAUAGUUGAUUAUAGAAUUGACAUUGCUUUAGGGGGGAAAUUAUAAUGUUCAGAAUUCAUUGCAUCAUAUUUCCUGGCAGUAGGUUUAUAUCUGAGAUUGAAUUUCCCAAAACACUGGAUAUUGCACUUUGUACUUUGGGAUAGUAAACUUUGUUAGGACUUUGGAAAUUCCCAGAAGGCCAAGGACACUGGUUGUGAAAACUGGAGUAAAGGGGGUUUGUUUGGUAUUGCGAAACCAAAAGACACCUCGCAGUGGAAGUGAUAGGCCUACACAAAACAAGCCCAGGGUUGAGGAUCACUGAAGUGUACAGCCACAGUUGCACUCGUCAGGCACAUUUAAAAUGUACUGCAGCUUAACUAGUUACCUGAUCUGCAAAGGUAACCUAUGGACAUUUGGCCUAGAUUUCUUGCAAACAUGUAAGCAAAGAGAUCAUACAUCAUACAUGAAAUCCUCCAGGCCCUAAACAGUGACCCGGUGGACAUUGAGACCCUGCGGAGGGCGGCCAUCAGCGAGGGAGGCCUUCUAACAGACGAGAUCAGGAGGGAAGUCUGGUCCAAGCUGGGCGUCAACGUCUACAAGUUGCCUGCUAAACCUAGCAUGCGUGUGGACGAGAAGCACGUAUUACAGGAACAGCUGAUUGAUAGCAUCCUGAUUGUCCCACAGAAGAACCCUGUGUUGCACUACUACCAGGGUUACCAUGACAUCAUGGUCACCUUCCUACUGGUGGUAGGGGAGCGCAUGGCCUUCGCCAUGGUGGAGACCCUCUCUAACCACCACCUCAGGUCGAUAUGAGGAAAUCGGCACACUUACUAUGAGACUCUUUAUGAAUACAUAAGGGCACAGACCUCCAGACCUGGGUUCAAGCAGUUAUUUUAAAUAUUCCCAAAAUACUUUGAGCAUUUGCUUGAGCCUGCCUGUAGUGCCACAUGACAGGCUUGGCAAUUUUGAAACUCUUCCAUUGUACCAGGCAAGCUCAAUCAAACACAGCUCAAAUAUUAUUUGAACCCAGGUCUGUUAGGUAGCCUAGUGGUUAGAGU